UGACCUCGGAUCAGGUAGGAAUA
rnacentral:rRNA from 3 species